rnacentral:SRP_RNA from 2 species
GCCAGGCAUGGUGGUGUGUGUCUGUAGUCCCAGCUACUCAGGAGGCUGAGGUGGGAGGAUCGCUUGAGCCCAGGAGGUCGAGGCUGCAGUAAGCCAUGAUCUUGCCACUGCACUCCAGCCUGGGUGACAGAGCGAGACCCUGUCUCAA